GCCCGAGUGGCGGAACUGGCAGACGCACAGGACUUAAAAUCCUGGGGAGAGCGAUCUCCGUACCGGUUCAAGUCCGGUCUCGGGCACCA
rnacentral:tRNA from 2 species